ensembl:ncRNA asRNA:CR44304 antisense RNA:CR44304
AUUGCCUUACGAAUUAAAGUCACACAAAUUUAACAAAUGUAACUUUACAAUUUCUCAUGCUAGAUUUUCAUAUACCUAUAAUUUUUCAAUUUUAAUCAAAGUAGGUGUAUUCGUUGCUCUUGAUUACUGCACGGCAAAUUUAUAAUAUAAAUCCAAAACUAAACGAGAACACUUUGCAUUGCUCUAUAGAGAAGUGCGUAGUUCUUCCAGGCUUUUGGUCAUGUUCAACGCCACUCCAAGAAAUAUAAAGCUGAUGGCCACAGAUGAGAAAACGGCAGCCGGUUAACCUUCCAAACUGCAAUAAUCAACAGGAGCGAGGAUAAUGCAUAGAGAGCCGAUCCGGUGGUCCACACAAUCUUUACCGCUUCAGAGACACCUGAUAAACUGGUCAUGAAAAGAUAGCCGGCAGCCACGCCCGAUAUACAGGAUACGCAGGCCAUAAUGGAGACGAUCAGCCUGCAAGUCGGCAAAAGUCUCUUAUAUGAGAAUUCCUGUUCGCUCAUGUGUUUGAUGUAUUUUAAGUCACUUAACACAAUGGAUUUUGAAUUUUUUUAUAUUGAAAGCAAAUCAUUUUCA